AUGAACGCUGGCGGCGUGCCUAAUACAUGCAAGUCGAGCGAACAGAUGAGGAGCUUGCUCCUCUGACGUUAGCGGCGGACGGGUGAGUAACACGUGGAUAACCUACCUAUAAGACUGGGAUAACUUCGAGAAACCGGAGCUAAUACCGGAUAAUAUAUUGAACCGCAUGGUUCAAUAGUGAAAGACGGUUUUGCUGUCACUUAUAGAUGGAUCCGCGCCGCAUUAGCUAGUUGGUAAGGUAACGGCUUACCAAGGCAACGAUGCGUAGCCGACCUGAGAGGGUGAUCGGCCACACUGGAACUGAGACACGGUCCAGACUCCUACGGGAGGCAGCAGUAGGGAAUCUUCCGCAAUGGGCGAAAGCUUGACGGAGCAACGCCGCGUGAGUGAUGAAGGUCUUCGGAUCGUAAAACUCUGUUAUUAGGGAAGAACAAAUGUGUAAGUAACUAUGCACGUCUUGACGGUACCUAAUCAGAAAGCCACGGCUAACUACGUG
rnacentral:rRNA from 1 species